UGAAAACCAGCAUAACCCCCUGCCCAGCCUCCACCAAGAAAUGAAAAGAAUUGAUAGCGAAGAGACGCCUUGUUUUGAGCGCUGGCAUCCAGCUCCCCCUUUCCAAGGACCCAGCUCCCCGUCUGGGAAUACAGCAGCUCCCCCCACCAAAAGGACGGAGGCCCCAGGGAGAGGAAGUGCUGGCUGCCACCCCAGCCCCGAGCCUCGCAGAGGGAAGUGGGAGCCGGAGCCCAGGCGCUGGCCUGGCGGGAAGGCCUGGGUGCCCGGCGUCCUGGGCAGCUGGGUGGGAAUCCCCCCAGGGACAGAAAGUGCCACCUGCAGCCACCACUGGGUGCAGGGCAGGUGGCCUCCCGCUCCCAUCGGCUACCGCCUCAGGAUUACCCAGAUCAGGCUCCUGGGGGAAACCCAUUUGGCUGCACAGUAAGAAAAGAGCUGCUCCUACGAUGCGAUGCUUUGCAGAUACUAGAGAACGUCCUGGGGGCCCAACUCACGCCCCCACUACUUACCCACCCCCACCUGCUCCCUCCGCACCACUUUCUCCCCAACACCCCCACACACACACACACCCACACACACUCUGCUGUGCCGUCUCCUCCGUGCACAUGGGACAACCUUCUGCAGCCUGAGAGGCUUGGAGGGGACGGCGGCUUAGAAACCUGUCCAUCACUGUCACCACCCACGGUGCCGAGGCCUCUGCUGGGGAGGAUGAGACCAGAUGAGAACGCCCGGGUGACCCGUUUGGAAGGACACCCUGCCAGGCCAAACCCUGCCUGCGUCACACCCCAGCCCUGACCGAAAUCAUGGGGGAACCUGUGUCGUGUUCACAUCUAAGGUCCUCCGCUCCCGCCUCGUUCCAGCCUCGGCACCGACAGGCUGGGGGUCCAUUUAGAGGACCGCUCAGCAGCUAGAAACAUUUCUCAGGUCCCUUCAGUUUAUGACGAAUGAGUCACAGACCCAGGUAAUCGGUGAGAGGAAAGGUAGAUUUACCAGGGCCUCAACUCAGGCCAGAACCUUCUACUUUUAGAUUCAUGGAAUAAUCGCCUUGGACAGGACCUCAGAGACCUGUAAACCCUUCCAGGUGAGGAAACAGGCCCAGAGAGGCAAAGUGACUCACCUGGGGGUGUUCAGGGAUUUGGGGCAAGGUGGCCAAGAACCUGGCUCUCCCGCUGCCUGGUCUGCUGGCUGCUGCACUAUGUUGGAAAUACGCUGAGAAACAUCUGAUCCAUGCUCCAAGAACAGGACCCUAAAUGAGGCACGACUACGGGCCCCGCCACCCACACUGCUCCCCUCAAGCUGGCAUCGCCUCCCAGGCGCCCCGGACCAGCACCACCCGGCUCCCAUCCGCCGCAGGACCCAGCGUGCAGACGCAGGUCUGCUAACAUUCUGGAUUUUUCCUCCUGGCUGUCGCUGUGCAGUGGAGAUUGCUCCCAACAGCAGGAGAGAGGAUGUUUGCACACGCUAAGAAGCCUCCCCACAUUCCAGGGUCCUGAAUUUCAAGCCGAGCUCAGUCCUUCUGGUGUUCAAGUUCGUUCAAUGUUGGCAAAAUUCAACUUCCUGUUUACAAGGGGGUGAGCGGGGAGGGGGCGAGGAAAGCCUUUUAAGAGAUUCCACAGGCGUCAGCCACCAGCAAGGGCUCGUGAAGCAUGUGGAUGAAUUGAGUGCGGAUGAAUCAAAAACAGGAGGCCUGAGUCUCCCUUGGAACAUACCCAGGCUUAAUAAUUAAACGAAAAAUAACUUGGCAAGGAGAUGUGGGGUUUUGCUGAACCCAAAACAUUUGAAAAGAUGUUUGACUAAUCCCAGCCGUGGGCGGGGACCAUCCUUUUUGAAAGGGCCGUGGUGGGUGUUAAACAGCUACAGGCCACACGCUGGAAACCCACAGGGCCCGGCGACUUUCAGUUUUCGCCUCCCCGUGAACAUCGAGGAAUCAAUUCACCUGGGGAGGGGGCAGAUUUUUCCCAAAGAUCUCAAGUUGUCGGCUCCCCCGGGACGAACGUCUUGACUUGGCCGUUCUCACACUUUAGCAAGCGGUCUCCGCUGGGGUGCUGAAUCCUGAGGGACUUUGGAAGAAAUAUUUUGGACGAUUCCAUUGCUUUUGAGACUAGAAGGCUUUUGAUUUUGAUUGACAAAGGAAAAUAAAAGCAGAAAUC
ensembl:lncRNA